rnacentral:rRNA from 1 species
AGCGAACGCUGGCGGCAGGCCUAACACAUGCAAGUCGAACGAACUCUUCGGAGUUAGUGGCGGACGGGUGAGUAACACGUGGGAACGUGCCUUUUGGUUCGGAAUAACUCAGGGAAACUUGUGCUAAUACCGAAUGUGCCCUUCGGGGGAAAGAUUUAUCGCCAUUAGAGCGGCCCGCGUCUGAUUAGCUAGUUGGUGAGGUAACGGCUCACCAAGGCGACGAUCAGUAGCUGGUCUGAGAGGAUGACCAGCCACACUGGGACUGAGCCACGGCCCAGACUCCUACGGGAGGCAGCAGUGGGGAAUCUUGCGCAAUGGGCGAAAGCAUGACGCAGCCAUGCCGCGUGAAUGAUGAAGGUCUUAGGAUUGUAAAAUUCUUUCACCGGGGACGAUAAUGACGGUACCCGGAGAAGAAGCCCCGGCUAACUUCGUG